ensembl:lncRNA
GUAUUAUAGAGGGCACAGCUUGCAUGGAGCACUGGGUGUGGUGAAAAAGUAAUGAAUACUGUUUUUCUGAAAAUAAAUAAAUUGGAAAAAAAAAAGAAAUCUUAAGGUCUUAACCGUUCUAUUAAAUAGAGAAAAAAAUGGAUAAAUGGAUACUUUGUAAUUUUCAGAAAAACAUUAUCACUCUUGUUCAAGGCACAUAAAUACUCCCGAGGGCACUGUGAGGAGUAGCCAUCAUGCCCACAGGGCCUCCGGUGUGAGAGGGGGGAUCCAAGGAGGCCAGGACAGAUUGAGGAGGGCGGGGGCCCAUGCCUGGGUCUUGGGAUGGCAUAAGAAUUUAGAAAUAUCGUUUCCAGUAUCCAGGAACUACCUGACCUCCAAACGUUGUUCGAUGUUCUUGCCUUUUCCUAGGUAAACUUCAGGUCACACGCUCUCUUCCGUCAACACAGAUGGAACAACAAAGGCUCAGGUAAUGCCACAGUCUUCCUAAGCUGACACAUCCAGUGACAGCUAGAAAUGUCUCCUGUGUUUAAGCCAGAUCCAAUUUCUACAAGCCACAUGAAAUUUCUGUUUGCUGCUUGGAGAUGGGAACAGACAAUGAAAACAAGUCUGGAAGGAAAAAAAAAAUAAAAAACAAGAGGUAAGUAGGAUGCAAGUUCAUAAAUAGUCUGGAAAUAUUUGGGAACUUAAUCAUUUUCUAUAGGAUUUUUUUUUCCCCACGAGUAACUGCCGAGGAGAAGAAAAAAAAUCUUUCAUUUGUGUCAAACUCAGCGGUGGUUUGACGGCCACACUUGGCAUGUUUUUCCAAGCUGUCAAGGGUGUGAGGAGCUGGGCUGUGCUGGCCCAUCUUGCUGACCUUCACAAGCCCAGAAGGAAAAGACCUGAGCAGGCAGGUGGUAGCGCUCCUGAAGACGCGUACCAACCAGAGGGAACUGCUUCUACGAUCCUGCCACGCUAACUUCUGUUAAAAAUCCCAACAACAUCCCAGCUGUCCUGACCCUGGGGUGCACACACAACCAAGGAGGCUUGUUUGCGAGAUGUCACCCCUCCCCAACCUGUCACUUAGAAGACUUGUCACCUUCUCCAUCCCCCAUUGAAUCCUCAGUGAGGAACAUUUCGUUCUCCAGAUUGCUGCUUCAGGAGACGGAAAAACAAAACAAUACAGCCGCAGGAAGGAGCAGCAAUGUCAUAACCAUCGUGUUAGGACAUCCUGGGACCAUGUCUGGAGUUUCAAGAAUAUCCAGUAGUACAAUGGUUGAGCCAUUUGGUAUGUGUAUCUUGCAUUUUUUUUUUUUUAAGAUAGUCACAUUGCUUUCCAAAAUGGUGAUACUGAUUUCAUGUAUCUACAGCGAUGUGUGGGCAGUAUUUCCAUGAACAGCACAAUCAUAGUCGCGCCACUGCUACAAAGGAAUCGCCGAUUGGCACCCCCAGAAGUGAAGCAAAUUUGCAGCCCUUUGUAUAGGAAUCCUUUAAUCCUGCUGUCCUCACCAAGACAUGUUACCACAGGCAAUAUCUGCUUUGCCAAUUUAUAAUAAUAAGCCAUUUUAUUUGUUUGUUUGCAUUUCCCCGGUCAGUAGAAAAGUUGAGUAUCUUUUUAUAUGGUCAUUUGGUAAUUUUUAAUUUCUCUAUAAUGAAUUGCUAUUUUUUCUAUUGGGUUCUCAUUCUUUCUAUUUAUAGGAUUUUUUACCAAUUCAGAGUACAAGCCCCCUGUUGUUAUUUGUUUCCAUGCAUGCCAAUAUCUACUCCCUUUUGUGCUUUGCUUCAUGUAAUUUUUGCCUAAUAGAAAUUUUUAAUUCUAAUGUAAUCAGACAUAUCAAUCUUUACUUUUAUGUGCUGUGCUGUUCAUGUUUCCAUAGGAAAUCUCUCCCAACUCAGAUCUAAUAAAGGAUUUAGCUUUUUUUUUUCUUUUUUCUUU